UUUUGCUUAGGCCUUUCCUGGACCUUAAAGCAUGACAAAAAUAACAAAGGAAUUCUUAACAGGAUCCUUUUAGGAUUAAACAAGUUUUCUUGGGAGUCUGAAGAAACUCUCCAGGCCUCCACAAACAAGUUUAUUGGAGGUCUGAAGGAAUUCCCCAAACCCCCAUGAUGUAGCAGGAGACAAGAUGAGGGUAAUCACCGCAACACCUAGACUCAUUUAGAUCAAGUAAACUUACUGAGGCUCCAGAAGAAGGUCUUCAGGACUCCGACCUUAGUUAUAGAUUAAAAGAAGUUACUCACUUGUGUCUUUAGACGAAUGCACACUUACACAUAGACAUAUAGCUUAGAAGGUAUAUAAGCCCUGAAACACUUUCUAAUUUUGAGUUGGUCUGGCGAUAAUUUCCAGACCUUCUCCCUGUAACGGGUGACAGAAAUAAAAACUCUCUUUCUGCCCGGUUCAUCUGCAUCUCGUUACUAGGCCGCGAGAAAUAGCAGCCUGACUUUCGCUUGGUCCUGGAACAAAGUUUGGUACACCAGCCAGGAGGUAAGGAUGGUGCUGUUUUCAGCCGCUGGCAGCCUGUGAGGAGACAGUCUUCAGCAGGAUCUCCCAGCUGCCAGGUGAGGUUUCCCCACGGGACCCUCCAGAGGGCUGUUCCCUGGACAAAUCUGCAUGUCCCUUUCACUGCUGGGGAAGAAUGGAGAUCGGGAGCGGAUGCGCUCAAAGGGUGCAAUAUAGGUGGUGAUAACUGUGGUGGUGAUAACUGUGAAGGUAGAGAGCAUUCCUAUCUCUUCCUGAGACUCCAAAAAGGUCACGCUGAUGGAAGAGAUAGACUCCCAUGGCCUUGAGAAGCUCCACCCCUGUGGCUUUGCAGGGUAUCACUCCCCUCCUGGCUGCUUUCAUGGGCUAGUGUUGAGUGUCUGUGGCUUUUCCAGGCAGAUGGUUCAAGCUGUCAAUGGAUCUACCAUUCUGGAGUCUAGAGGCACUUGGAUUGUUUCCAUAUCUUUACUAUUGUGACCAAAGCUGCAAUGAACAUCGCAGUGCAGAUAUCUCUUCAAGGAAAACCAAUCAUUAACAGCUUUCAUUUCAGAAAGCCAAGCAAUUUAUAUGGACUCACUCCCAUAAACACAAUUCUGAGUGUCAACCAAUUGAGAACAAUUUUGUUGGAGUAAUCACAUUUUGGCAGCGAAUGUCAACCUACUUAAACUUCUGAAAGGUCACCAAUCCCUGACUUUUAAGCUUCCAAAAAUUCUGGUAUAAAUCCAGCAGCUUGCUCUUUUUAGAGAGGCUAUACCUGACCAGCAUAUCUCUAUUCACUAUAGUAAGCAAUAAGCACAACAUGUUUUUUCUUUCAAAUAUUGAGUGGUGAUUUCUUCAUAAUUUGACAGUAUCAUUUAUCCCAUGGAAGAACAAGUAGUUAUAUAUCUUAUUCUGGAAUUCCUUUUGAGCAUUAGAGCAAUCUUCCCCAAAAACUGCGAACUUAAAAAAAAUAAUAAUAUUCUCUAUUCAACAGUAGGUGGAAAAUCAAACUCAGAAACAUUUUAGCAGAAUUUAUUUUGCUGGGUUUUUUUCCUCCUAAACUUAGCAUUGUUAUCUGGAUACAAUCAAGAUACUUUAUUUCACAGCCAACGUCAUGUAACAACUUUUUGUAACAUUACUCAGCUCGUAGCUUUUCUCUUUCGGAAAAAGUGUUUGGAAAGCAGAAUUAAAAACGAACUUGAGGGCCAGGCGCAGUGGCUCACGCCUGUAAUCCCAACAUUUUGGGAGUCUGAGGCGGGUGGAUCACGAGGUCAGGAGACCGAGACCAUCCUGGCUAAUACAGUGAGACCCCGUCUCUACUAAAAAUACAAAAAAUUAGCCAUGCAUGGUGGCACGUGCCAAGUCCCAGCUACCGGGGAGGCUGAGGCAGGAGAAUCGCUUGAACCUGGGAGGCAGAGGUUGCAGUGAGCCGAGAUUGUGCCACUGCACUCCAGCCUGAGCAACAGAGUGAGACUCCAUCUCAAAAAAUAAAAAAAUAAAAUAAAAAUUAAAAGUCAACAUUUAAAAGACUUGGAUUUUUCUUAGUUUUUUUUUUUUUUUUUUUUUUUUUGGCUUAAUAUAAGUCUUCCUCUCUCUCUCUCUUUUUCUUUCUUUUUUUUUGAGAGGCAGCCUUGGUCUGUCGCCCAGGCUGGAGUGCAGUGGCACCAUCUCGGCUCACUGCAACCUCUGCCUUCUGGGUUUCAGAGAUUCUAGGGCCUCAACCUCCCAAGUAGCUGGGAUUACAAGUGUGCGCCACCAUGCCCAACUAAUUUUUGUAUUUUUAGUAGAGAUGGGUUUCACCAUGUUGGCCAGCCUGGUCUCAAACUCCCAACUUCAAGAGAUCUGCCGGCCUUGGCCUCCGAAAGUGCUAGGAUUACAAGCGUAAGCCACCAGGCCCAGCCUACAUUUUCUUUUAUCUGUGUGUAAAUAUGUUGAUGGUAUAGUGUGCAUAAGGGAAAAUAAGCUUAUUAAAAACUCAAGCUUCAGGGAUAACUGGCUAGGCCUUACUUUUAAAGAAAUAGUUGCACCUUUAACAUUUUCUGCUAUGAUAGAAAAAUAUUAUCCAAUUAAAAUGUAAGCAACCUAAACAUCAUUGAUUACUCUAAAAGAAUUAUAGAAUAGUAAUAUCUUGCCAAUAUCGAUAUUUGUGGUGCUACUCUGUUCUCAUUGCAUUAGCUAUUAGACAAUGUCUUAUAGAGUUCAUGGCCAUUUUCUGCUUAUGAAUGAGAAUAAAUACUUGUGAAAACAUAACGUGUAAGACAUCAGGUAUACAUAUAUUAAAAUAUGUCAGUUGGCGAAAAGUAAUAAUUGUCUUACCAAGGAAAAUUGCCUUUAGAUUUGACUGUGUUCAGCUCUGGUACAAAACAUAACAAACAUUAUGUUUCUACCUUAAUUAAAAAGUAAAUGUGGUUAUUUUAAAAACUGUUUAAAAUUAAAGCCUAUUUUAUAAGAUGUUAUAUGAGACACUGCAUUAUUCCUUAUCAAAUUUAUAAGGCUGUAU
rnacentral:lncRNA from 1 species